UUUUCUAAAAUCAGAGAAUCCCUAGAUCUAAGAUCCUAUUACAUGAUUAUUACAUGGAAUUAAAUCAGAAAUUAAAAUAUAUAAAUAUAGCAUGAACUACAUGUUGAUCAUAUCAACAUGUUUUUAUACCACAUCUAAUGUAUGUAUUAAACAAUAGAUCAGAUCUAUUACCUUGCAAGUUAGACGCUCUAACCUCGCUGAUCCGGGCUUAAGGAUGAUGUUGCAAGCCGCACAUGCGUCCGGCCUCUAGGAGUCAUCCACAUGAGCCCACGAAUCUCGAUCAGAAGUCCUGCUUCAGGAAAUCAGCACAGUAUGCUAGUACUGCGCUGAUCCUUCUUUGAUGGUUGAU
rnacentral:lncRNA from 1 species